rnacentral:rRNA from 1 species
UGCCAGCCGCCGCGGUAAUACGGAGGGUCCAAGCGUUAUCCGGAAUCAUUGGGUUUAAAGGGUCCGCAGGCGGGCAAUUAAGUCAGGGGUGAAAUGGUACGGCUCAACCGUAGCACUGCCUUUGAUACUGGUUGUCUUGAGUUGUGGUGAAGUGGCCGGAAUAUGUAGUGUAGCGGUGAAAUGCAUAGAUAUUACAUAGAACACCGAUUGCGAAGGCAGGUCACUAACCACUAACUGACGCUGAUGGACGAAAGCGUGGGGAGCGAACGGGAUUAGAUA